CCUACGGGGGGCUGCAGUGGGGAAUAUUGGACAAUGGGGGGAACCCUGAUCCAGCCAUGCCGCGUGUGUGAAGAAGGCCCUCGGGUUGUAAAGCACUUUCAGUGAGGAAGAACGCCUGGUGGUUAAUACCCAUCAGGAAAGACAUCACUCACAGAAGAAGCACCGGCUAACUCCGUGCCAGCAGCCGCGGUAAUACGGAGGGUGCAAGCGUUAAUCGGAAUUACUGGGCGUAAAGCGCGCGUAGGUGGCUUGAUAAGCCGGUUGUGAAAGCCCCGGGCUCAACCUGGGAACGGCAUCCGGAACUGUCAAGCUAGAGUGCAGGAGAGGGAGGUAGAAUUCCCGGUGUAGCGGUGAAAUGCGUAGAGAUCGGGAGGAAUACCGGUGGCGAAGGCGGCCUCCUGGACUGACACUGACACUGAGGUGCGAAAGCGUGGGUAGCAAACAGGAUUAGAUACCCGUGUAGUC
rnacentral:rRNA from 1 species